rnacentral:misc_RNA from 1 species
UGGGUUUGACAUGCACGUGAAAGCCUUGUGAAAGCAGGGCCCUCCUUCGGGACACGUGCACAGGUGCUGCAUGGCUGUCGUCAGCUCGUGUCGUGAGAUGUUGGGUUAAGUCCCGCAACGAGCGCAACCCUUGCCCCGUGUUACUAGCAGGUAAAGCUGAGGACUCUCGGGGGACUGCCGGCGUCAAGCCGGAGGAAGGUGGGGAUGACGUAGCUAAGCCUUC